rnacentral:lncRNA from 1 species
GCCACUCCCACACCCUAAGCCACGCCCACCUCGUGCUCUGAUUGGCCAGCGCCUCCAACGCCCACAGCACGGCCUCGGGGCUGUGGCCAAUCAGCAGAGCCUGCAGGGGGCGCCAAGUGUCAGGAAAAGGGGCGGGGCCACAGGUAAAGCCACGCCCCUUCCCUGCAAGCCACGCCCACCUCAGCCUGCUCCAGCCAAUCGUGAGCCUCAGCCAGCUCCUCCUGCGGCUCCCUGCAGUGAUUGGUGCCGCCGGGGGUUAAUUAAUGCGUUAAUUAAUGCGUUAAUUAAGGAGUUAAUUAAGGAGUUGUGUAAGGGGCCUUACCUGGGGGGAUGGGCCCACUGUAGCUCCGCCUCCCUGGAUUUGCAUAAAGCCUUGAUUGACACCUGGGGGGGAUUGAUGGGAUUUGGGGUGUGACCAGCUCAGGCCACGCCCACCCCGAGGCCACGCCCACUCACCAGCACUUCCGGCUCCGCCCCCGAGGCCAAGAUGGCCGAAAGCUCCACCCAGGACUGGCCUGGCCUGAGGGGAGGGACCCAAAAAUCCCAUCAGGAACCCAAAAUCCCCUCAGGAUCCCAGAAAAUCCCUUCAGGAACCCCAAAAAAUCCCCUCAGGAUCCCAAAAAUUCCAUCAGGAUCCCAAAAAUUCCAUCAGGAACCCAAAAAAUCCCAUCAGAGACCCCAAAAAUCCCAUCAGGAUCCCAAAAAUUCCAUCAGAGACCCCAAAAUCCUCUCAGGAUCCCAAAAAUCCCAUCAGGAUCCCAAAAAUUCCAUCAGAGACCCCAAAAAUCCCAUCAGGAACCCAAAAAAUCCCAUCAGGAACCCAAAAAUUCCAUCAGGAUCCCAAAGAAUUCCAUCAGGAACCCCAAAAAUCCCAUCAGAGACCCCAAAAAUCCAUCAGAGACCCCAAAAAAUCCCUUCAGAGACCCCAAAAUCCUAUCAGGAUCCCAAAAAUCCAUCAGAGACCCCAAAAAUUCCAUCAGGAUCCCAAAAUUCCAUCAGGAUCCCAAAAAAUUUCAGCAGGAUCCCAAAAAUCCCCUCAGGAUCCCAAAAAUUCCAUCAGAGACCCCAAAAUCCCAUCAGGAUCCCAAAAAAUUUCAGCAGGAUCCCAAAAAUUCCAUCAGAGACCCCAAAAUCCCAUCAGGAUCCCAAAAUCCCCUCAGGAUCCCCAAAAUCCCCUCAGGAUCCCAAAAAAUCCUCUCAGGAUCCCAAAAAAUUCCAUCAGAGACCCCAAAAUCCCAUCAGGAUCCCCAAAUCCGUUCAGGAUCCCAAAAUCCCUUCAGGAUCCCAGAAAAUUUCAGCAGGAUCCCAAAAAAUCCCAUCAGAGACCCCAAAAUCCCCUCAGGAUCCCAAAAAUCCCAUCAGGAUCCCAAAAUUCCAUCAGGAUCCCAAAAAAUUUCAGCAGGAUCCCAAAAAAUUCCAUCAGAGACCCCAAAAUCCCCUCAGGACCCCCCAAAAUCCCCUCAGGAUCCCAAAAUUUUCACCAGAGACCCCAAAAUCCCCUCCCCACCUUCCAAAUUCCCCCCAAAAAAUCCCCCAAACCCCCAAAUUCCUCCUCUAGGA